rnacentral:misc_RNA from 1 species
AGUCGUAACAAGGUUUCCGUAGGUGAACCUGCGGAAGGAUCAUUACCGAGUGCAGGUCUGCCCCCGGGCAGGCCUAACCUCCCACCCGUGAAUACCUGACCAACGUUGCUUCGGCGGUGCGCCCCCCCCGGGGGUAGCCGCCGGAGACCACACCGAACCUCCUGUCUUUAGUGUUGUCUGAGCUUGAUAGCAAACCUAUUAAAACUUUCAACAAUGGAUCUCUUGGUUCCGGCAUCGAUGAAGAACGCAGCGAACUGCGAUAAGUAAUGUGAAUUGCAGAAUUCAGUGAAUCAUCGAGUCUUUGAACGCACAUUGCGCCCCCUGGCAUUCCGGGGGGCAUGCCUGUCCGAGCGUCAUUGCUGCCCUUCAAGCCCGGCUUGUGUGUUGGGUCGUCGUCCCCCCCGGGGGACGGGCCCGAAAGGCAGCGGCGGCACCGCGUCCGGUCCUCGAGCGUAUGGGGCUUUGUCACCCGCUCGAUUAGGGCCGGCCGGGCGCCAGCCGGCGUCUCCAACCUUCUAUUUUACCAGGU